GCAUGGGGGCUCUCUUUAUCACCCUUUAUCAACCUGGAAAGCACCUCCUUCCUCAUGGUGUAGGGUGACAGGCCUGGCAGCAGUGCCAGGGAGAGGGGGCCCAUCCUGAAGGGCACCUCAAAACACCUGGGAGGGAAGGGAUUCUCUGCUGGACGGCAAGGAACGCGGGAGGCUUGUGAGCAGAGGACGGAUGGGAGAGAAUGAGUUCCCUUGUCUCUUGCGUCCUUAGCAAGGGGCUCUCAGGGUGGGUCUGGCCAGCCUCUGGGGACCCAAGCCCUCACCCUAUCCUGAUUUUUGUGCCUCUUCCUUAUUCUGAAGGCGUGGCUCUGUCUUCACUAACACAUUUUUCAGAUAGGGAACGCCAGGGUCCAGAGUAGCAGAGAACUGAGGGCCAUCAAAGAAAUGGGCUUCCCUGGCCUCAGCCUCAGCGCUGGGCACCAGUGCAGAGCUCAGCUCAGCAAAGGGAGAGGGAUGCUUGCGUGAGAUUUCUGCCUAAAUAGUUCAGGACCCUCUCCUGGUUGGGUUAUCCUUAGUAAAACUAUCAGAGACAGAACCAUUCAUGUUGGACGUACAACUCAGCGUAAGAAACUGACUUAGCCACGGACAUUAGCUGGAGCUAUUGGCAACUCUUUGGGUCUUUUCGUUUAGUUGUGUCCCAUGGACACAGGCUAUGCGUAUAUAGGACAAAAAGAGCCUCACGGUGCUGAAGUCUCCCUGGCUCCAUGCGUGCAUAGUACUACUCAGGACGGGCAGGAUGGAAACCCGGUACCAUGACAACCUGCCACUGCCCUGGGCAGCAAUGCAAAAUGGAUGUCACAGGGCAGGAGGGGCCGAGUCCCCUUAGGUUCUUAGGGAUCUCCAAGCUCAGAUGGAUCAGUCAGAGCAUCUGUAGGGAAUCCAGACCUUCAAGGCCUCAGCUUCCAGCCUCUCUCCACAAUCAUGUGAUCCCCCGUGACCGGCUUCCACCAAUGACACCGCCCAGUGAGGACGUCCUCUUCUCUCUGGCUCUUUUUGUGUCUCUAUCUUGCUCUGUGCUUCUCUCUGUCUCUUGCUUUCUCCCUCUCCCGAUGGAUGGACUAGCUCCACACUGAUGUACCUUCCAGGCCCUUUCAGCCUAGUGACCGUGGCCCUGUCUGCUUGCCACACCUCAGUUAGGUUCAUACCUAUGGUUCUGGCCCUCCUCGGGGUCUUGCAAACCUGCCGAGGACCAUUUGACCAUAUGGCCUCCUGAGGGAGGGAUGGAGCUUUGUUGGUUGGCUGCAAGAUGGUAUGGGGGAGGAAGAGAAAGGGGAAGGACUUCUGACACCUCUUUGGAGUCACUCUGGGUCCAGGCGCCUCCUCUAUGUCCCACUUGUACCCAAACAGAAAGGAAGUCCAAGGCUGAGAGACCUUUGCCCUUCAGCCAGCCCUCAAGCUCUGCCCAUUCUUCCCUACUGUGACAAGUGACCAGCCAACUCUCAGUAACAAGCAGAGUAAAAAUGUCUUUUAGGCAUGUAAAAAGAGCUUUGUCUGGAUUCUCCACCUCACCCAAGGCUGCAUCUGAGAACCAGAACUCAUUGGCAUUACCCAGGAUAAUCAGACACGGUCCUAGAACCCCAAGACACCUACUGGGUAGUAUAUAAGGAGAGACCAAGAGCAACGCUCUGCCCAUCUGGAGAGAUGAGACCUUCCUUGAUCAGCCCUGGGGCUGGAGAGUCUCCCUCAGGAUCCUGGCCCUUGCAUCAAAGACUUCUGCUAGAGACUGGGCCUGGCCUUCAGCUAUGAUACAUCCCAGGAAUGUGUGUCUGUCCACUCACAAGCAGGUCCUGCCAUAGGCUAGUGACACCUCUGCAGAUCCAUUCCUUCAGUGGGAACAGACUGGAGACCAGGAACAGCACCAGACAGGGAUGCCAAGCUGCAAGGGAGAUCAGUUCGCCUAGCUGUCCCUUUGGGAGUCCACACACAGCCCAGAGUGCUGAGUGACAGGCUGAGUGAGUAGUCGCUGGUAAUACCCAGGGAUCUCUGAAGAGCAGGUCACCUCUUGGAGACAGCCAUCAAGGGGGCUGCCUUAGGAAGCUGCAGAUGAGGGAUGUGGUCAGAGCCACAUGCUGUGCUUUGGGAUCUGAACAGAGCCACCACUCUGCGCUUUGGGACAUGGACAGAGCCACCAUGCCAUGCUUUGGGAUGAUGACGGGGCCAUCACAUUGUGCUGCUGGAAGUCCCUUCCCCACAAAAGGAGCAGCAUAGGGACAGCAUCGUAACAGGAAUCGGAAGCCACUGGAUGAGGCUGAGGGACCUAAAUGCACAGGCUCGGGAGAGUUAAGAGACAAGCAGGGGACUGGCUGAGACCCUGGGAGAGAACAGCAGCCUUUCUGCAGGGGGCAGAAAGGCUGUUCCCUGAGGCCAUGGGACCUCAGGGAACAGUUGGUGGGAGCUGCCGUAGACUCGGUCAGAGCCUCAUCUGGGGCAAACACAUGGGAGAGUCCCAGCUUCCCUCAAGAGCCUGUUCCAGGGCCUCCUGCUUGUCUAUCCCACCAACCCCACAAGAAACCGGUCAACAUGGAGCCUGAAGAAACUGUGCUUCCUGGGGCCAGACAUCCUCGGCUUCUGGGUAGACCAGGCCUGCCAGUCUCAAGCUGCUGGAACAGCACCAGGGCUGUUCUCUGCUGUGUGCUACCCACUCCAUGGAUGGCCCCUGCAGCCUGAGGUCUGACCACCUACUCUCCAGGGGUCUCUCUGGCCUCCAGGUCCCAAAUGGGAGUUGAACUGGGGUUGCAGAUUACAUAGUCUCUUCCAGAGCUUGGCACUCAGCCCCAGCUGGGACAGGAGAGCAAGGAUGGGUGAGGCUGGACCUUCAGGAACCAUCUAAGCCCCAGAAGCCGAGAAAGCAGCAGGCAGGUCCCAAGAGCUGUUGUGGGUACAGAAUCUUGUAGCUGGAAUUGUGCAUACUAUGAGGAUGUGUCCACCAGGGCUGGGUAACUAGCCGGAGUAUCAACCUAAGCCCGUGACUUGAAACUUAAGGCUUUGAGAGAUUAAAAGAAAUAGUGUGUGUGUGUAAGAGAGAGAGACAGAGACAGAGACAGACAGAGAGAGAGAGAGAGAGAGAGGGAGAGAGAGAGAGAGAGGCUGUCCAUAGAGGUUAUGGGUGCUGGGAAUUGAACUCAGGUCCUCCGGGAGAGCAGUACUCACUCCUAACUGGUGGCCGUCUCUCUAGCCUCCAAGGGAUGUUUUUUUGUUUGUUUUUGUUUUGUUUGUUUGUUUUUUGAGAUUGAGGCCAGACCCAUAAGCACUGGAGAACUUGCAACAGGCCAUUCACAAUCUUUGUCAGAGACGAGGUGUCCUGGAGGCUCUUCGGUCGCAGUCAGCCACACCUUUUGGGAAGGCUUUCCGGGGUCCAUGAAGCGCCCCCAUGCUUACCUUGGAAUUUCCUUUCUAGAUCUCUGAGAUGCUUAAGGCAGGGAUUUGCCUGCCCUACCCUGUUCUGCCACUCUCAGGCUGCUGGCAGGCAGGCGCUGGGCACUGAUGAUGUUUCAGACAGAAGCAGCAAGGGAGAGCAGGAGGGAGGGGCCACAUCCAGAGGGAGGGGACACUAAGAUUAGAGAGGGAGAAGCCUAUGACUGUCCGAGGGCCCCUUGAUCAUUCUUGUGAUGUUGGGACUGAUUGUGUGUAUACUAGGGAGCCUGCUGAAUCAUGGACAGGGUUUUGAGGUCCUCUGGGGACUGUCUCUGCAGACCCCUGAAGGUAGACUGAGAAUCCCCUUUCAAGUCCUGCAGCCUGUGUCCCUGCCCCUGGCUCUGUACUACUCUGCUCCCAGUCAUGGAUCCUGUCACCCUUCAAGGAAGUGGCAGAUGCUGCACCCCAGGGUGGGAUACAGGAAGCAGGAAGAGGUGUGGUGGGGGGAUGAGAGACAAUGUGGUGAGGGGCUUAUGCACUGUAUCUGUCUCUUUCGCAGGACGCCUUUACCUGGCUCCUUCCUCCUAGCCUCCUGUUCCUGGUGUUAUUUUUAAAGUUUCACUUUGUAAACGUUUGUGCUUUAUUUGUUUAUUCGCUGGAAUUACCGGUGCACUUAUGCAUUCAAUAUUUAAAAGGUAAGCGCGUGCCAUACGG
rnacentral:lncRNA from 1 species